rnacentral:rRNA from 1 species
GUAAGAUUCCUGAAUAAGAGCUAGACAAGAUUAUAACAAUUUUAUUUACAACGAAGAGUUUGAUCCUGGCUCAGGAUGAACGCUAGCGGGAGGCCUAACACAUGCAAGUCGAGCGGGAUUCACUUUCGGGUGAUGAGAGCGGCGCACGGGUGCGUAACGCGUAUGCAACCUGCCUCUAACAGGGGGAUAGCCCGUUGAAAGACGGAUUAAUACCCCAUAGUAUAAUUGGAUGGCAUCAUUUAAUUAUUAAAGCUCCGGCGGUUAGAGAUGGGCAUGCGUGACAUUAGUUAGUUGGUGAGGUAACGGCUCACCAAGACUACGAUGUCUAGGGGUUCUGAGAGGAUGAUCCCCCACACUGGUACUGAGACACGGACCAGACUCCUACGGGAGGCAGCAGUGAGGAAUAUUGGUCAAUGGGCGCAAGCCUGAACCAGCCAUCCCGCGUGAAGGAAGAAUGUCCUAUGGAUUGUAAACUUCUUUUGUAUACCAAGAAUGGUUCCUACGUGUAGGGAUUUGACGGUAGUAUACGAAUAAGCAUCGGCUAACUCCGUGCCAGCAGCCGCGGUAAUACGGAGGAUGCAAGCGUUAUCCGGAUUCAUUGGGUUUAAAGGGUACGUAGGCGGCCUGUUAAGUCAGUGGUGAAAGUUUGCGGCUUAACCGUAAAAUUGCCAUUGAUACUGAUGGGCUUGAGUACAGUUGAGGUAGGCGGAAUGUGUAGUGUAGCGGUGAAAUGCUUAGAUAUUACACAGAACUCCGAUUGCGAAGGCAGCUUACUAAACUGUCACUGACGCUGAGGUACGAAAGCGUGGGGAGCGAACAGGAUUAGAUACCCUGGUAGUCCACGCCGUAAACGAUGCUCACUCGCUGUUUGCGAUAUAUUGCAAGCGGCCAAGCGAAAGCAUUAAGUGAGCCACCUGGGGAGUACGCCGGCAACGGUGAAACUCAAAGGAAUUGACGGGGGCCCGCACAAGCGGAGGAACAUGUGGUUUAAUUCGAUGAUACGCGAGGAACCUUACCUGGGCUUAAAUGGGGAGUGACAGCUGCCGAAAGGUGGUUUUCUUCGGACACUCUUCAAGGUGCUGCAUGGUUGUCGUCAGCUCGUGCCGUGAGGUGUCGGGUUAAGUCCCAUAACGAGCGCAACCCUUACCGUUAGUUACCAUCAGGUUAUGCUGGGGACUCUAGCGGGACUGCCACCGUAAGGUGAGAGGAAGGUGGGGAUGACGUCAAAUCAGCACGGCCCUUAUGUCCAGGGCUACACACGUGUUACAAUGGCCAGUACAAAGGGCAGCUACUUGGUGACAAGAUGCUAAUCUCUAAAGCUGGUCUCAGUUCGGAUCGAAGUCUGCAACCCGACUUCGUGAAGCUGGAUUCGCUAGUAAUCGCGCAUCAGCCAUGGCGCGGUGAAUACGUUCCCGGGCCUUGUACACACCGCCCGUCAAACCAUGGAAGUGGGGGGUACCUGAAGUCUGUAACCGCAAGGAGCGGCCUAGGGUAAAACUCGUAACUGGGGUUAAGUCGUAACAAGGUAGCCGUACCGGAAGGUGUGGCUGGAACACCUCCUUUCU